AUAUAUAGAAUUGGGCUAAAAUGCUAUUAAUAAUACUUCGGCUCUUUUUGCUAUCGAGUUUUUAACUCUGGGAUGAAAAAUUAUAAGAUUAGGAUGACAGUAAUUUUCUAAGAUUUAGUAAUAGUUUUUUUAAGAUUAAGUAAGUAGUUGAUUGAAUAAUAUAAUAUAAAGGAUGGAGUGUAAAUCUAACCGUUAAAAAAUUGAUAGUAAAAACGAAUAAAUAUUAUUAAUAGUAUUCUAAAGAAGCUCUCUUUCUAUAUAUACAU
rnacentral:lncRNA from 1 species